GGGCGUAUGGUCUAGAGGUAUGAUACCUGCUUUGGGUAAUAGUAUCCUUAAUGCAGGGGGUCUUCGGUUCGAAUCCGGAUUCGCCCC
rnacentral:tRNA from 1 species